UUAGAGAGCCAAACCCACAUGCAAACGGGGUGAAUGGUUAUUAGAAAAAGGACCGAUCCCGUCGGAUCUCGGAAGCUAAGCAGGGUCGGGCCUGGUUAGUACUCGGAUAGGAGACCGCCUAGGAAGACCAGGUGCUGUAGGUG
rnacentral:rRNA from 1 species